CUGAGUGCUGAGGUUAUAAAUGACCCCAUGUCAACCAGGCUUUUCCCCUUUUGCAUAAUGUACUGGUACCUUGACUAUUUCCCUUUUUUAUACCACAAGAAUACUGUAGUUGCUGUGGUCCUUUCAAGCCAAAGAUCACCCAGGAAGAACCAAGUGCCGGGCCCUGUGUGACCCACCCUCUCCCAUGGAUUCAUGCCAAGUCACACAAAGUGCCAUGCUCAGCCCUGGCCAGGGGAAGGCUGUGGCUUUGACUUCCUGACUCUGGGAUGACAGAGAGGCUCUGGAGUUUCAGAUUUCCUGCUACUUUCAAGAAUAGGAACCUUUGCAUUUUCCCAUUUCAAGCAUGCCAGAGAGACAUAGGGUGGGCUUUAUAAAGAGCUCAAAGGAACACACAGUUCUAAGAAUUUUCAAGCUUAAGAAAAAAAAAAAACCCUGACACUCUACAGAAACAUACUCCCCCCUGAAGUCAACAGUAAAUAUAUAUGCAAGUGUGCUCCUGGUGGGUUUUGAAAUGACAGUGUGGCUGUAAGCGGUCUCAGCAGCUCUGGGCCAAACUUUUUUUGUUGGAGGACUGCAUGGAUCACACAGUCGGUCAGUCGGUAGUCAGUUUCCACACUUUGAUUUUCUUACUUGUUGACAUUUGGUCUCAGCCCUAAGGUCUGUUCUUGUGACAUUUAUGUAACCAUUCAUAGACACACAUAGAGCACUAGAAAAGUGUCACGCAUGCGUUUACAUUGCCAAGACAGUGGAACUAGGGUGUGUCCUGCCUUCUGGCCUUCACCCUCACACUACAAUCCAGUGCCCUUCCCUGGUACAUUUUUGUGCCUUUUGUUGGCGAUUUCACCAUUUAAAAUGGAAGACACUCCUGACAGAGAACAUACAUCCGUGUGUUUCAUUCAGCUAGUGCUGAAGGUUCUGUUCAAAGCUAACAAGUCAACGACGCAUAUUAAACAAGAUUUCUUCAAACAGAUACUUCAUGUGUAUUUGAUGAACAGAAAAAACUUCUGUGAGAGGAGGAACAUGGGAACCAACCUCAUGUUUCCCCUGGAAGCAAUGGUUUGCUACUGACUAACUUGGUGAAUUACUGAUUCUACAAAAUGGAGACUAUCAGACAUAGAUAUUCUGAGAAUGAAGACCCCAUCGUAUAUGUUCACGUGCGCAGUGCGUGUGGGCAUGCACAUAUUUGUGACUGUCCUAUCCUAAUUCACUGAAGUCUUGGAAAAGCAAAUCUGUAUUAUUCAUUAGUAAUACUUGGAGAAAACAGUUACCUUUUGGUAAAGUAUAUUUACAUAAUUAGGGAUGAGCAGUCUUGGGGUUGGCUUUGUGUUGAACUAGCGGUCCUUUCAGUCAGCACUGAUUUUGUGGUACCAACAUGAGAAUGUACUUGACUACUGUGUAGGAGCGUGGGAUGCUGGCUCUAAAGGUUUGCAAAUGUUACUGCAAAACAUUUCCUUGGUAUCGCGCUGCAUUCCGAGCAACAUUUCCAUUCCAGACUCCUGUCCAAGAGUUGGUUAUCUGGUUAAUAAAUGGACAUUUGGACAUAAUAUUUUGUUUAAAUAUCUUUGGACCAUGUAUCUUUAAACAACUUAACAACACCUAUAAAUGCCAACUCCCGCUGAGUCAGACCCUCCUCAGACUAACACCACCCACCUAUCCAGGACCAGUUUUUUCCCUACUCCCAUGUGAGGGCAGUUUCCUUAUCUUGCUGUAGCAACCACCUGCCGGGGGCUUCCCAGCUGCUUCAGUUUGCACUGUUUGUCUGGAUGCAUAGCUUCAGUAGACCUAGAGUAAGGGAGAGAUA
rnacentral:sRNA from 1 species